CAUUUUGCUAUCGUUGUGCACGUUGUUUUAUUUAAUGGCGGCGAUAUCUAACAUUAUUCAUGAUGAUUGUGUGGAGGUGUAUCUUCGAAACAAAAAAGGUAUAUCUUUUGCACACCUCUAUAGUUUAACAGACAACACGUUAACAUGAAAAGUGGCGGCCAAAGGCGAAAGUGUUAAUAAAAAAUAUACUUUCACAAAAAUAUUCGGCCCCUAUCUAACCUAAGAAGAAUUAUUCAAAGAUGUUAUGAAAUCCAAAUUAUUACAUUUUAUUAAUGGGAGGGAUGCAACUGUAUUUGCAUACGGUGCCUCGGGAUCUGGUAAAACAUUUACAAUGGUUGGGACCGAAAAUGCGCCUGGUGUAAUACCUAGAGCAUUUGAAUACCUGUUUCGUAGUUUGCCCAUAUUACGUGAAGAUCCCAAAGCAAAACCGUUGCCAAAUGGGACAGUAAUGGAGCUUAGCGCUUUGCAGAGCGAAGAAGAGAAGAGGAAGAAGCAACGCUAUUUGUUCCAGUCCGCAAAUUGCCAGAGGGAGAUGGGAUGAUUCGCAGUAUUGAAGAGCAACCAACGAGCAAUAGCGAUUUGAAACUUGGACUGCCUGAACAAUUGUCAAGUUAAGUUAAUUAAAUCCUUAUAUCUUUGAGAAUUGAAAAUUUUACUUAACAUUUGCCGUUUUCCAGUCGGGCUUACAGUAGUGGGGCACCUAUAUUAUCUAAUAGCUAUAUGGUCAAGCCCCUAAAUAUCCAAAUGAGUUUGAAAUGAGAGAAUGGUGACGACAUGGGCGACCGGAAGAAUUAAUAAUUAUCUAGGAAUGCUCUGGUACCACAACAAAUUUAACAGUAGAUUUUGACAACUUGGUUAUGAAAAUUGGUAUUUUAUCCAAUGGAAUAAUUUUUACAAUAUAAAAAAUUAUUUGAGGUUUUGGGUUGUGGCGUCGUCAUACAUAAUGAAUCUUCUUUCUUUAAUAGACGUGUAUGGUCGGUUACAUUAGGCAGUACAGUAGAGACUUGAUAAUCCGGACUAAUUAAAGUAAGGGCUAACUCAAACUAUAAUAUACAUACAUGAUGAAAAACAGUAAACGGGUAAACUUCAUUCUCAAAGUCUCAUCAAAACAAAUAUAAUGUAGGUAAGAAUAACUAUAUCAAAUGUUACAUUAUUUAAAAUAUUUAAAUAUUUUACUUUGCCUUUUAAGUGAAAUAAUUGAAGAAUGCUUAACUAUACCUUUUUGUUAUAAUAUUUUAAUUUAGAGAAAAUUUUCUCCAGCAAUUCUAAUGUAAAUGUCUGAAGCUUCAUGUUCAAGAUCGCCAUUCUCUAAGACAUUCUCUGCAUUUUCCAACCACAGUCAAUUUGUGUCAGCAGUUUAGAGGAAUUAAUUUUAGUCAUAAUCAGGUAAAUUGCCGGUUUGUGGUCACUUUCUGCUAUGGCAUAUAGAGUAAACUGCAUCAAUAAGAUUUAUCCUCUUAAUGCAGACCUUUCUGAUAAUACAGCUAGAAUAAUCUGAUAGCAUUUUGAUCCAUAGGUUGGAUGAAAACUGUACAGGAUUUCUAAACUACAUAGAGCAAAAUCGACUUACUUAACAUGGCCGAGAUAUAGGGCGGUUGCCAAUUUUCGGCCCUUCAGAAAAUUGCCCAUAACUUUUUUAUUUAUGAAAAUUUUGAAAUGGGAUAAAAACAUUAUUAAGGCAUUCUUUAAGGCAAAUGCAGUGGCGUACUCAGAUUAUGUCUACAUUUCUCCGUUUUCUCAUAAAUAAAUACAAUUUUCUUAUUUUAUAUGAUAAUCAUAGUUGACUGUAGGCUUAAAUUAGUGUUCGUGGCGAGCCUUUUCAGCUAUAGCAACCUUUAAAAACACGAAACUUACGAAUCAUUCAAUAUUUUAAUUUUAGAUAUUUUUAAUAUUUUAAUAUUUCAGAUUAUUUAGAAAACAAAAUUAUAUUUAUUUUAAUCUAAUAAACACAACAGUAAAUAUUAGAAUACAAAAUCUUAAAAUUUAUCCUUUAGCAUUAAUUAUAUUGAAAUAUUUUAAAGCAAAUGUUCAAAUUGGGCGCCGCCCUCUUCAAUACACUGGGCGCACCUUUUUCGUACUGACUGGCAACUAUUUACUAACUUUGUAUAGGAUUGAUGGAAGGAGACGCUUUGGUUUGGAAAAUUCUGUCUUUAAAGAUAAAAUCUUUUAUUCUUACCCAUAAAAAAAUCUAGACGAGUUAGAUCACACGAUCUCGCAGGCCACACAAUAGUUCACUUACAAUCGUCUUGCUGAUAACAAAAACUCAGUCCAAGAAUUAAUGGCACGUCUUCUAAAACUGGCUGUCAGAUUUUCAUUAAAAAAAUAAGGUCUGACAAAUCUACCUCAGGAAAUUGCUACGCAUAGCGAAAGGAACUGUUUCUGUUAAAUAUUCCGGAACGCUUCAUGACUCGAAACAAUAGACAAUGGAAAAUUAAUUUUCUCAUUGCAUUAUUUGUGACAGAACACAAAAUUCAGUAAAGAAUAAAAGUUAUGUGCUUAACUGAUAUUGACAGCUACAUGCACGGCCUACUAAUACGUAAAUAAUACAUAAACAAAUCUAUGUGGCCGAAAAGGAGUCAACACUGGCAUUUUUUAAAGACCAUAGACAACUACAAUUGCCAUACAAAAUAAAAAAGUAUAUAAUUAUGAGAAAACGGAGAACUGUAGAAAGGAUUGCCCUAACAAUGUUUUUAUCCAAAUCCAAAAAUAAAUUACAAAGUUAUGAUCAAUUUUCAAAAUUGAAAACGCCCUAUAUCUCGGUUGGUAGUGGAAGAUAUCGCCAUGCGGUUUUAAGUAAGUUAAGUAUGGUGAAAAAUUUUCCGUCUUCAUUAUCAAUCAAGCAUUUCCCGAAAGUUGUUGGUCUUUUAAGUUGUUUGCAAAACGAUAUGUCAAAGCAAUCCUUAAAAAUGGUAGAAAACAUCCAUGCGUUACUACUAGUAAAAUUUGGUUCUUGGAUGCCCUUGAUAAACCCACGUCUUUUUUUUUUAAUGAAGAAACCAGCCUCUACUUGCCACAAAUGCACCUUUUUAUAAAUGUUCUGGGAUAGUUCUCGAGCUACAAUAUAAUACAAUACAGAAUACAAUUUUAUUUCCUUUUCUGGAUGUUCUGCUUGCUGUAAAGUUUUAGUCCUGAAUGGUUAAUUCCAAUAAAUCCAAAAUAUUGAAGAGUAAGGUAUUAUUAUCAAACAGCGUGUUGCAGAAGGA